CUGAUAGAACUGUGUGUUACAUGCAAUAUUUGCUUUGUGGACUUCACCGGACAGAUGUUGCUCUCCGGGUUUUGUGAUGAAACAAAGACAGCCCCUGAAGACGGCACGGACAGACAGCUCCUGAAGACGGCACGGACAGACAGCCCCUGAAGACGGCACGGACAGACAGCCCCUGAAGACGGCACGGACAGACAGCCCCUGAAGACGGCACGGACAGACAGCCCCUGAAGACGGCACGGACAGAGAGCCCCUGAAGACGGCACGGACAGACAGCCCCUGAAGACGGCACGGACAGCACAGGUUGACCAUAAAGGCAGCCAAGUGGGGGACCCUCAGAGGAAGAAGGCCAUACCUUGCCGGUCGGUCCCUGGCACAAGGCUGCUGUAGAACAACCAGGAACGAACAACUGUCACAGACGUAACUGAGUUAAUGGACUGCCAGUGGGUGUUCACAUCCUACUC